ACGCUCGACACCUACGGGAAGCAGCAGUGGGGAAUAUUGCACAAUGGGGGGAAACCCUGAUGCAGCGACGCCGCGUGGAGGAAGAAGGUCUUCGGAUUGUAAACUCCUGUUGUUGGGGAAAAAGAGGAUGGUACCCAACAAGGAAGUGACGGCUAACUACGUGUCAGCAGCCGCGGUAAUCUGAGCGGGCUGGCAAGGC
rnacentral:rRNA from 1 species